AAUCAACGCUGGCGGCGUGCCUAACACAUGCAAGUCGAACGCGAAAGGGGCUUCGGCCCUGAGUAGAGUGGCAAACGGGUGAGUAACACGUGGGUGACCUGCCUUCGAGUGGGGGAUAACGUUCCGAAAGGAGCGCUAAUACCGCAUGACAUCCUGCCUUUGGAAAGGCGGAGAUCAAAGCCGGGGAUCGCAAGACCUGGCGCUUGGAGAGGGGCCCGCGCCUGAUUAGCUAGUUGGUGGGGUAAUGGCUCACCAAGGCGACGAUCAGUAUCCGGCCUGAGAGGGCGGACGGACACACUGGGACUGAGACACGGCCCAGACUCCUACGGGAGGCAGCAGUGGGGAAUUGUUCGCAAUGGGCGCAAGCCUGACGACGCAACGCCGCGUGGAGGACGAAGAUCUUCGGGUCGUAAACUCCUGUCGAGCGGGAAGAAACCCACGAGGGUGAAUAUCCCUUGUGGCUGACGGUACCGCUAAAGGAAGCCCCGGCUAACUCCGUGCCAGCAGCCGAC
rnacentral:rRNA from 1 species